rnacentral:misc_RNA from 1 species
UGCCAGUUACAGCACCAUAUCCACCUUUGGAUGCGCUUGACAAGAAACGGCUUUUGGCUCGCAAGAGCAACAGCACGACUUACUGCUACGAUUUUCCUCUGGCAUUUGAAGCAGCAUUGGAGAAGUCUUGGGCAAGUCAUAAUCCUCGAACAGAAAAGCCCAAGGACAAGGUCCUCCUGAAAGUCACAGAGUUAAGUUUUGCUGACAAAGAAGGAAGCUGGGGUACUCCUCUUGUCUCUGUGGUGCGUCAGCCUGGAUUCAAUGAUGUCGGCUUGGUGGCAUGGAUAAUGGAAAUGUCUACUCCCGAGUUCCCUAUGGGAAGGAAAAUUCUUGUUGUGGCAAAUGAUGUCACCCACAUAAAUGGAUCUUUUGGCCCAAGAGAAGAUGCAUUUUUCCAAGCAGUGACUGAUGUUGCUUGCGCACAGAAAAUUCCACUUAUUUAUUUGGCAGCAAAUUCAGGAGCUCGUAUUGGUGCAGCUGAGGAGGUAAAGUCUUGCUUCAAAGUUGGAUGGUCUGAUGAAUCAAAUCCUGAACGUGGUUUUCAGUAUGUAUACUUGACUCCUGAGGAUCAUGAGCGUAUUAAAUCUUCUGUCAUUGCACAUGAAUUGAAGCUGUCAAAUGGUGAAAUUCGAUGGGUGAUAGACACUAUUAUUGGGAACGAGGAUGGCCUAGGUGUUGAGAACUUAAGUGGUAGUGGAGCCAUAGCAAGUGCUUAUUCUCGGGCAUAUCAUGAAACAUUUACCUUGACAUAUGUAACUGGGAGAACUGUUGGCAUAGGUGCUUAUCUUGCUCGUCUUGGUAUGCGAUGUAUACAGAGGCUUGAUCAGCCAAUUAUUCUAACAGGUUAUUCUGCACUUAACAAACUUUUGGGUCGGGAAGUUUAUAGCUCCCACAUGCAACUUGG